AUUGAACGCUGGCGGCAGGCCUAACACAUGCAAGUCGAACGGUAACAGGAAGAAGCUUGCUUCUUUGCUGACGAGUGGCGGACGGGUGAGUAAUGUCUGGGAAACUGCCUGAUGGAGGGGGAUAACUACUGGAAACGGUAGCUAAUACCGCAUAAUGUCGCAAGACCAAAGAGGGGGACCUUCGGGCCUCUUGCCAUCGGAUGUGCCCAGAUGGGAUUAGCUAGUAGGUGGGGUAACGGCUCACCUAGGCGACGAUCCCUAGCUGGUCUGAGAGGAUGACCAGCCACACUGGAACUGGGACACGGUCCCGACUCCUACGGGAGGCAGCAGUGGGGAAUAUUGCACAAUGGGCGCAAGCCUGAUGCAGCGAUGCCGCGUGUAUGAAGAAGGCCUUCGGGUUGUAAAGUACUUUCAGCGGGGAGGAAGGGAGUAAAGUUAAUACCUUGGCUCAUUGACGUUACCCGCAGAAGAAGCACCGGCUAACUCCGUG
rnacentral:rRNA from 1 species